AAAAUAGGAAGAUCAGAGAGAAACACAUUUUUACACUACAUAAAAGAAAGCUAAAAGGGGUAAACGUUCAAUAAAUAAAAUCAUAGCACACUGAUGUGUGUGAGCUGCUGAUUGGGUUACCAAAACCAACUAACGCUUCAUUUGCAUGGCAAAGCACCUUUUUGAAAUCCCUGAAAAGGUACAGACUGAUUUAUGGACUGGAGACGGCAGCGGCUGCCGAUUACUGUCGAAUUUAACAAAAUAAAAACAAAGUUUAUAAUAUCAUUAAAUAAACCUUUCUGAUAGUGGCUCCCCAUAAACAAGUUAGUCAGUCCUUCCCUGCUGUAGAUAAUAUUACCACUAGAUAAUAAGAUAAACUUCCUGUAUGAACUUUAAUCUUGUGUACUGAACUAGAGACAACAGAAAGUUCAGCCUUCAGAUCUGUGCUUCUUUUCUGCUCCACGUGCGGUGAACGAAGGAUCUAAUCCAAAGGUACUUUGACCAGAAGGAAUCCCGGCUAGGUGAUGAGCCUUAUCUCAAAUAUAGUAGAAAAGGAGCUCAUUCAUCUGCUCUAACUUGUUGUGAGGAGCCACCUAUCACACAGGGUGAUAUAAGCCUUCGACAUUCAUUGAUAAUCUACUUUUUGAAGUUUUCUCCAGUGACUCAUUAGCUAAGAGUGGGUGCGAAAGUGAUCUGGUUGCAGUUUUUAACUGAUUUUAAAUGUGCUUUUCAGCUCUGAAAUUUGAAAACCUUCAUUAAGUAUAUAAAAAAAAAAAAUGUAGAAAAAGAAAAGGAAACAAAACAAAUAAAAAAAUACAAAACAUCUGAAUUAAGAGUUUAGAGAGGGAACAGCCUCACCCCAGACUCCAGCUAAGGUGCGCUUCAAUAUUGCAUUUAACUGACCAACCCCAAUAAACCCAACUAUCCUAUUUUACUUUCUUAGUUUGAUUCUCAACUCCAAUUUUCAUUCAGAUUUUAUUAAACUAAAACAUUCUUCUUUAAGUUUAGUUUGAGUUCAGUGUACAGGUUUUGCCACCAACAGUCUCGGGAAGUGGGGUCUACCGGGGGGGGCAGUGCCAAAGUAUGUGGUACAACCAGUGUGUUCCAGUUGUGUUAGCCAGCCACGGAGAGAGCGAAGUUCUAACAUUCGAAGAGCUAAAGAGCUGAGCGUUAAAAAUAAUGCCAUGUCCACUGCAGCCACCAGUUUUGUUUUUGUUUUCUUUAACGUUUUUUUCUGUGCUUCUCCCACUCUGGUGAACUUCACUGUUAGUCUCGUCUCUGUUCCGGCACAUUCAUCAACCAAUCAGCAUUUGAACGAUGCGCAGCGCCACACACGUUGAGCGAUGUGUAGUUGGGAUUUUGGAGGACUGCACCAGAGCAUUUUUCUCCAAAGACUCUCUGUUCAUACGCAAACAGACACAACCGCGGGAGCAAAACCUGAGCAUAACCCAGGUCUCAACCACUGCUGUGAACACAGCCCAACUCUGCACGUCUGUUUCAGGGUGUUAUAUAAAUGCCAGGGUGGGGUAAGUGAAGUGAAUCCUCAGUAACCACCAUUAUCGACAUGAUUUUAAAAGGCCGGAUGUCCCUUCCAUCAUCUGCAGAGCUUUAAAUUUUGCCUUAAACUUAACAGAUCUCACAAGUUGUGCUACAAGAUCGACCUUUUUCUGUUUUCACAGCUCGCUGUCGGCAAGCGUAAUUGUUACGGUAAACUAACUGCUACAUUUAAUAACACCCUGCAAGCUACAAUGUAUGUUUUAAAUUCAAAUAUCUGAGCAGAAUCAGGGGAUGUAAGCAGUUAAGAAACAUUUCACAACUUCAUUGAAUUGAUGAGACAGAGCCAAGAUCAGGCUGAGCAGAGGUGUGAAAAAGCUACACUUCCUGCUGUACAUCACUAAAACAAGCUUACAAAUAAUGAAAGUCUUAAGCUCUGAAUACACGUCUGCACAAAAUUAAACUGAAUCACUCAGAGGUCCUGGACCCUUUAAGACCUAAAAACAAACAAACAAACAAACGUUAAGCUCAAUCCCGUCUCUACAGCAGAGUAACACCAACCUCAGCUCAGUAUGUCGUGCUCACUGUCUGUUAAAAUUAUAUGUCUUUACAGUGGCUUGAAAAAGGGGUGGAUGUCGCCAUUUGACUGGCAGGAAUAGCACCGACAACACCUCUGUGGGUGUUUCAUUAUAGAGUGUCACCAGUCUGUGGUCCACAAGGAUGAUGUGGCAUUGGUAAAGAUGCAAGACUCCAUGGCAUCAGAUUUUUACAUGAAACUCCACCGCUUUAGUUCUCGGCGUCCUAAACGUAUGAGUUUGUCAGGACAUCUUGAAAUCGUCUCAGAACGGACAGCCGGAGAAACAAGCAGUGAACGUGGUACGAGAGUGAAAAGUGCAUCGCAGGCAGACGUGCUGAUGAGGUUUCCACGUAGAGGACGACCGUUUUCUUUCAUUGUUUUUUUUUUAAUAUUCACAACACUUCUAAGCCAUUUAUGUAAAUGUACAUGCAAAUUCUGUCUUAUUUGCUGCACAGUGACAUUAGCGUGUCUGUAAUAGCCACUGCCUCACCACCGCCAGUACGAUAAGAGAACAUCAAAGCGAGCAGCUCUGAGUUUGAGUCUUUCUCGUCGAGUAUUUUUUUUUCCUCUCAACUUUCUUACCUAAAACAGUCACGAUAGAAAGAUAACUUCUUAGCGUUUCACUUAAGCUACAAAGCUCUCGUCGUUUUUCUUGUGUUGUUAAUCAAUCGUGUCCGUUUUCUCUCGCCCUACGAGCUCAAACUCGCCGCUGUUUAGUUCAGCUACAGCUAAGGUGAACAAAGGGUUAGGAUUAGAUGCAUCCACACCAAAACAGCCUAUUCAGCCUCAUGGAUGGUGUACGAAGUCUGAAAAAAACUGCCGUGAAGACAGCAGUUACUCCAACUUUUCAACAAAAUGCAUUUCUAUCCUUGGUUUGGUGAUGCCAGCAUUAUUCCAGAGGAAAGAAAAUCAUUCCUCAAGGUGACAUUGUAGCUCACCUGAUUAAGCAGGUGACUCAUUUUCCAGAAGCUAUUGCAAGGGCCGGGGUUCCAGUUUACCCCAGAGUUCAAGUUCCUGAAUGUCAUUACCCACCACUCUCCCUGCUUUCCUGUCUCUACUGAUCUGUCAUACAAAACAUUAUCCUUAAAAAUCAUUAUUUCUAGAUCUAGACCGGAUGUUUGAAUCCGAAAGAUAAAAUUUCACUGCCACUUUGUUUGUGGAACAAUCAAAAGUGAUCUAAAUGUAGUAAAACUCAAAGGUUUCUGUGGAUGACCCUGGAGAAGGACGAUUUAAACCUAUCCAGAGCUUAACCGUCUAAAAGAUGAUGCUAAAUAAUCAUGAAUACUAAACAAAUGGUAAAAUUAUUACAUCAUGAAGUUUGUUUUUGAUGCAACGCUCUCACUUUUGCUCAUGUUAAACAAUCACACCCUUUUUUUCCCCCCCCUCCAUAAAAUGCAAAGUCACUGUUGAGUUUAGCUGAAUAAAAGAGCGUUCAGUUAACAAGGUCGACGCAGAGGAAGUAAAACUCAACAUUUCCUCUGUGAGGAUUAAUGAAAUGGUCGCCUUUGUCUCUGGAUCACUCGUAGUCUUCGAAUCCCGUACAGGAUAUAACUCCCAGCUGGAUGACCCUGAGCCCAUCGCCACCCUCUGUUUUUCCUCUUCUUCUGUUGAAUUAUGUUUAAAGUUUGAGAAAAUACUUGGUAAAAACUGCAUGAUGCUUAUCAAGUUAAUGAAUAAUCAUAAUGAAAAAAAAUUAGAUUACAAUAUCUACCAAAAUUGAGAUUAUAAUAUUGUCACGAUCGAGCAGGCUUACUCCAAUUUUAAAAAUGUGAUUGUGAGUCAGUUUGACCACAAUAAAUUUGUAGUGAACCUUUGAUAUGCGAACAGCCUAAAUUUAAUCAGCUGACUCGGUUUGCGCUGUUGGUAAAACGCAUGACAAGAUGAAGUCAGACUGUAAGAGUUGCUAAAUAGCUCAUGAAUUGAUUCAAGUGCAUUGCUGGAGUGUACGGCAUUAUCACAGAUCUAUAGGAACAUUUCAGGCAGCAAAAAAUAAAUAAAUAAAGUGUUAAUUAAAACAAUUCGGUUUUUAUAGAAAUUCAUUUUAAGUUGAACUACAACUUGUUGGAUCAACUUUUAGGGUUAACAAAUCCAUUAUUACCCCAGAGUUUGUUGUCACAAAUCAAAAUCACAAUAUCAACUAAAAUAAUGUGAAUUAUAUUUGUUGUUAUGCUUCGCAGUCAUACUCUAAUGCAGUACUGUGACUCAAUCCAGUGCCACCCAGACGGUUUUGAAGAGUGAAUAGUGCAGUGAAGUCAUUGAAUAAGCAAAACAGCAACACAAAUCAUCUGUAAAAUGUUUCACACGGGAAAACUUUUAGUAUUUCUAGAUUUCUAGAACUAGACGAGCUGAUUGAAUUACCAAGACGUUAAGUACUGGUAUUAUUUAUUUAUAAAGAGUGUAAUAUACUGUAAUAUACAGAGGAUGAAUCGUGAAUUUGGACAGAGAUACAAAGCUCAAACUGUCCCUGUGUGCUUUUUACACCUGUUUUCUCAAAACAUCACCCUUGAACUACAAAAAUAAUAAUCUAACAAGCAUCUGCCAGUUUUUAAAAGAUGUGGUCUUUCGUUUGGGGUCCUGGUUUUCUCGGGGAAUGUUUUUUGUAAAGCCAGAAUAUUAACAUUACGUAAUGUUUUUUCCUUGCUUGGUCCAUGAACCACUGUGCGUCUGACACUUCUGCUCUGAGAGUUGCUCAAGAACUAACGCAAUCACCUGAGUGCACUUCUUGUGAGGUCCAGGUUCAUGUGGACUAAUUCACAGGCACGUUUCGGGGCUGGCUCGGACCACCUUGGCCCUGGAUGACAGCUGUGUGCCAGUCACAGUGACCUGACACGAUCAGAAGAUCGAUAACAAGCGGCUGGAGCCCAAUCAAACAAACAGUCGAGGCUUUUCCUCACUGAGCCCGGUAUGAGGAAGUACUGCUGGGCAGCUUGUCCCCUACAACUCCCCUCUGUCUGUGCUUCAUGCUCACCCAGAGGCUCCUCGGAGCCAGCUCUAGGGCUAGCCGAGGCUGUAAACCCUGUCAUAUCUCACAGGGUGAGACAGAAGAGCUCAAAGCAAAGACAAUGCUCCUCCAGAACAUGCUGUCAGCUGCUUGAAAAUCCCUCAGUGUCCGCUUGGACCCAGACCCAGAUAAGUGAGAAAGGAUGGAUGGACUAUAGUUGGGAAUGAGAUUGCUGCAUAUAGUCCUUCAACUUUUUUUGUAAAUGUAAAUAAAAAUCCAAUUAUUCUUGUGUUUACAAAGGAAAUAAAAAUAGUAAUAACAGUAAAAGCUGUCAGGACUUGAAUCUGUGCAACAUUUGUGUGUGUUUAACUCGACUUUCUGUCAUUCUCCUGCAUUUUUGUCCUCUUUGUUAAAAGCGUAUGAUUCUGAGGUUUUCCUUUGCUCUUUCUUAACCACUUGAAAUAAAGUUUACUGGAAAAAAGA